rnacentral:rRNA from 1 species
UACAGAGGUCUCAAGCGUUGUUCGGAUUCAUUGGGCGUAAAGGGUGCGUAGGUGGCAUGGUAAGUCGGAUGUGAAAUCCCGGGGCUCAACCCCGGAACUGCAUUCGAUACUGCUGAGCUAGAGUACUGGAGAGGAGAUUGGAAUUUACGGUGUAGCAGUGAAAUGCGUAGAUAUCGUAAGGAAGACCAGUGGCGAAGGCGGAUCUCUGGACAGUUACUGACACUGAGGCACGAAGGCCAAGGGGGCAAACGGG